UACGUAGGGGGCGAGCGUUGUCCGGAGUUACUGGGCGUAAAGGGCGUGCAGGCGGUGCGGUAAGUUUAGAGUGACAGUCUUCGGCUUAACUGGAGAAGGCCUCUGAAAACUGCCGGACUUGAGGGCCAGAGGAGGGACAUAGAAUUCCGGGUGGAGUGGUGAAAUGCGUAGAUAUCCGGAGGAAUACCAAAGGCGAAGGCAGUGUCCUGGAGGGUGACUGACGCUGAGGCGCGAAAGCUAGGGGAGCGAACAGG
rnacentral:rRNA from 1 species